UUUCUUCGUGAAUAUCUGGCAUU
rnacentral:siRNA from 1 species